AACGGUAAGGGCAAGCGUUAUUCAUCGUUACUAGGUGUAAAAGGUGUGUAGACGGCUAAAAUGAAAUUUUUUAUUAUACUUAUAGAAAAAACAAUUUGAAAAAUUGUCUAUUAUAUGUUCUAAAUUAAGCUAGAGUUAAGAUAAAGUGAAUAGAACUUUCAAGGUAAUUGUAAAAAGUUAAAAACUUGCGAGGAAUAUCGAUGGCGAAGGCAAUUUUCUAAUUUUAACUGACGUUGAGGCACGAAGGUAUAGGGAUCAAAAGGG
rnacentral:rRNA from 1 species